AUUGAACGCUGGCGGCAGGCUUAACACAUGCAAGUCGAGCGGAGAGAGGUAGCUUGCUACUGAUCUUAGCGGCGGACGGGUGAGUAAUGCUUAGGAAUCUGCCUAUUAGUGGGGGACAACAUUUCGAAAGGAAUGCUAAUACCGCAUACGUCCUACGGGAGAAAGCAGGGGAUCUUCGGACCUUGCGCUAAUAGAUGAACCUAAGUCGGAUUAGCUAGUUGGUGGGGUAAAGGCCUACCAAGGCGACGAUCUGUAGCGGGUCUGAGAGGAUGAUCCGCCACACUGGGACUGAGACACGGCCCAGACUCCUACGGGAGGCAGCAGUGGGGAAUAUUGGACAAUGGGCGCAAGCCUGAUCCAGCCAUGCCGCGUGUGUGAAGAAGGCCUUAUGGUUGUAAGGCACUUUAAGCGAGGAGGAGGCUACUUUAGUUAAUACCUAGAGAUAGUGGACGUUACUCGCAGAAUAAGCACCGGCUAACUCUGUGCCAGCCGCCGCGGUAAGAC
rnacentral:rRNA from 1 species